AUUGAACGCUGGCGGCAGGCCUAACACAUGCAAGUCGAGCGGAUGAAGGGAGCUUGCUCCUGGAUUCAGCGGCGGACGGGUGAGUAAUGCCUAGGAAUCUGCCUAGUAGUGUUGGAUAACGUCCGGAAACGGGCGCUAAUACCGCAUACGUCCUGAGGGAGAAAGUGUGGGAUCUUCGGACCUCACGCUAUCAGAUGAGCCUAGGUCGGAUUAGCUAGUUGGUGGGGUAAAGGCCUACCAAGGCGACGAUCCGUAACUGGUCUGAGAGGAUGAUCAGUCACACUGGAACUGAGACACGGUCCAGACUCCUACGGGAGGCAGCAGUGGGGAAUAUUGGACAAUGGGCGAAAGCCUGAUCCAGCCAUGCCGCGUGUGUGAAGAAGGUCUUCGGAUUGUAAAGCACUUUAAGUUGGGAGGAAGGGCAGUAAGUUAAUACCUUGCUGUUUUGACGGUACCAAAAGAAUAAGCACCGGCUAACUUCGUG
rnacentral:rRNA from 1 species